UGUCACGAUGAAUCACCACCUCUUUCUGUGUGAAUUUUGAUUCUAGCAAUCUCUUUAACCAAGUACCUUCCUUAAAUAGUGGCAACUUAUCCACCACACACCUGGCAUGUGGCAUACUUGCACAUCAAUCCAAACCACCCAAAUCUCUGAUCAAGUCGGCAUAGCCAUCCAAUUGGUGAUCAUGAUAGCGACAGUUGAAAUGACAAUGGCGUGCAGUCCAGAUUCAAGAGGCAAAAUAUAAUCAUCAAGUCAGUGUGACUUUCAAGCCAUAACGUGGCCCGUGAUUUGGAUGGUAUGGAUUAAGGUACUUGUUUGCUACGCAUUCGUUGUGCAAGUUGCCACCCUUUAUUAAACCAACCCAAGACGCAAACCAAAGUCCACAACCUCUUGUAUUGAGACUUGAGUUCCCAGUGUUUGAGACAGAAAAACCAACAAUCAUCCCAAUGACAAAAAUCUCCCUUGAAUUUUUUCAUCAAGCUCGAACAUUUGGUGGCAGCAGCCAAAGCAGCCCAGCAGCAAAUAUUGAGAAACAACUGCAGAAAUAGUCGAGAAAAAUCAUUCAGCAGCUGGAAUAGAUACCUUGGAUAUCAGAUAGCAU